rnacentral:lncRNA from 1 species
GAUCUUAUUUAGCAAUAUGUAAUAUACUAUACAUAGCAUGAUGUAUACGCGUUGCUAUUAAUUAUAGUAUGUAUGACCCGUGAAAUAAAAACAAAUUACUAGCUAGGUAAGAACCUAUUAAGUAAUCACUUUUUAGUAAAGAGUUUUUGAAUCUGUUCCUCAAGUAAAUAUGUUGGAGCUGACGAGUUAGCAUCCCAAACAAAAACUCCAGCUAGUGAUGCAGUAUUAAGUAGGAUUGUGCAUCCCUUAACAAAGAAUUCGGUUGUCAUUGUAUAUGAACUACUUGUAAUUGUAUCGGUGCUAACUCCUGCCAAGAGUUUAAACGGUGCACCAUAUUCAUAAACUAGUUUUUUAAAGAGCUUAACAAACUCGAUCACUGAGUCAAAACUCUGCUUAUAGAACUUGUAGUUAAUCCAAUCAAUCUUGUCUUUGUUUUUGAGAUACAGUGUGAGGUAGUAGCUUUGGAGAGCCUCUGUUGGAGCAAUGGACACCGCACUCAUGGAGUAGGAAAGAUCCUCAUCUUCCUUGAGUUGUUGUAUGACGUUCCCUAUGCAGUAGGCAAAGUCAUCCACACUGGAAUCGAUGUUUUCAUAGUUAAUAUCAAUACCGUAAGUCGUGCUAAUGCCGCCUGAUCCGACGUCAAUCUUGUAGUCUAGGAUGAGAUCUUUGAUUGAUGAUUUGGCGUUCGCAAUCCAGAUGUCUCUAUUCUUAGGGUUGAAUACAUCUUCAGCUGCAUGGCCUCCUAUGCUUAUUACCACUUUCACAUUCCUAUGCUCUACAAUGAGCUUCAACACUUUUUCUGGGCCUAAGCUUUUAAAGUUCCAAGUGCGGGUGAAUACUCCUGUGCCUUUUCCAUUAACAUACGUAUCUGUGGCAAAGCCCAGAAUGAAGUGGAAUUCUUUCAUGUUGUCGUUGAUCAUGCCCGCAGGAUAAUCAUCUAAACUUCCAUUGAUGUACUCUCGGAAAAUGGUAGGCUUCAAAACUGCCUUGAAUUCAGGUUCUAACAUUGUGAAAUCAAUUGUAUUUUGCUAUGAGAUUUGAUUGGUUGUGAUUGGAAUAAUCAACUUCUUAUGCCCUUUUAUAAGCCUAUAAGUCUUAUUUUUAAUGAAGCUUUUAUUUAUUAGUCUUCUUAAUGUAAUGCUCUUUUAUCGCUGUGCAGUAUAAACUAGUAGUAUUAAACAACACGUCUAGACAAUAACCAAGUAUAUGCUUAGAUGUGCAUUCCAAAUGCUUCAAAAUAAAGUAUGCAUACACUUGCCUAUUCUUUUAAUCAGUUUUUUUGUUUGACAAAUUUAUUCUAAUUAAUUAAGUUAGAAGCAAGAUUCAUCAAAUUAUAAAUACUAUUAUAUGUCACUAUUCCCUUAAAAAUGUUCACACUACGGUUGUUAGGGAUUCAUGAAGGAAAAAAAAACAAUUCCAAGCAUAAGGAGUCUCAAGGAUACGAGUCAUAUUUUUAUCCGAGCAGAAUUACUUAUUUUAAUCAAAUUAGUUCUAAGCUUAGCCAUUUGGCCUUAGCGUUCUCUUUCCAACCCAAAGUUGGUUUUUCAAAACAUACCCUAUAUACAUUAAUGUUGUAUAUCGGAGAUUUCUUAAUGCACCAUAUAUAUUAUUAGGACACAACGUAAAAAUAUAAAAAUAACUUUAGAUUUUAAAGAUGCAUCUUUGGACGUAUCUCAAACACAAACGACGUAUGUCAGUUCUGAAUCAUGUCAUAGGAGUGUGAUUUUUUUUUUAUCCGAAGAUGCAUCUCCGAAAUCUAUUGAUAGAUACAUCUCUGUAGCAAACUGAAACAAAAAUAGUAGAAGAAAACUAAAAAGUUAUAUUUUGACAAAAUAAAAUCAUCAUUCAUAGCAUAAAAUCAACAUGACAUAUACGAUGUUAACGUAAAAUCAGAAAUUACAUUUCAAUAUACAGGUGGACGCUUCAAAAUCUUCACAAUAUCUUCGAUCGAUCUUGAAAUCGUCGCUUCCACCUCGAUCGGAGUUUUUGUUUCGUAACGGAAAAAUGUAUUCAACAUAGCUCUUACAUCUACAUUUGUCUUGAGUUCAUAGUUGUUGAACUCAAUCUUGCCUUCGUUGUUAAUUGACGUAGAACGGUACUCGAGCUUCACAAUUUUUCGAUUAUCUCCGUAAUAAUUCAACAUAGCUCUUACAUCUACAUUUGUCUUGAGUUCAUAGUUGUUGAACUCAAUCUUGCCUUCGUUGUUAAUUGACGUAGAACGGUACUCGAGCUUCACAAUUUUUCGAUUAUCUCCGUAAUAUAGGAGAUUAUUCACUUCGUAUUGCAGAUCUGCAAAAAUGCUAUACUCAUUGAUCUUAAAUUUUUACCUCGGUAUCGCACUGGAAAAAGAGACAUUUGCAAAAUACCAGAUGAUGUUCAUUUGCGACAUUUUAUGUUUGUAUGAAAUAAAAAAUAUGAGCCUAUAUUUAUAGAAGUUGUAGACAAAUAUUGACCUUAAAAUUGUAUUAGUAAAAGUUCUGAAGAUGCAUAUCCUGUACCACCCUAUUGUCUUAUUUCGGAGAUGAAUCUUCGGAACCUCUCCUGAUAUAGACAGAAAACAAAACUUGUGUAUUUUGUUUGGCAAAUGGACAAAUUUUUUGACAAACAUCAAAAUAUAUUAAAAUAUUUUAAAUUUUAUAUAUUACACUUCAUUAAUAUUAAUACACAAUUACAUAUAAUUAAUUGAUGCCAAAAAAUUAAAAUGAAUCGAAAGAUUUAUCCCCAACUAAAUCUAUAGUAUGAAUGGUCCCCCUUUGACUUUUAUGCAUUUUAUUCUCUUUCAAUGUCCCUCAAUUUGGUGAACUCCUACAUAAUUUUCAUGAAUUGGUUAGGCCAAAUCUCGAAUUUUGUUGUUGAAUGAGUCAUUCACUCCAUUAAUGUAAGUGGUAUAGGGUAUCCCAAUUUCAAAUAAACUUGACCAAAGUGCCAUAAUUUUGAAAGCCUCUUAAUACACAUAAUACAAUCAUUUGGAUUUUGAGGUGGGGCAGUGCGCAAUGAGAAAAAAGUUUCCGAAAAACCGUUUCUUGUAAGAUUAAUACACACUUUAUCAUACACACUUUCUAUAAAAUGACACAUUUCAAGGAAGCGCGCCCAUUUUUCCUCCAGUGCUGGUCCACUAAUGCAAGGAACAAAAGACUCAUAAAUUGCAUUAACAUGUUCUUUCCUUCUGUAAAGUCGUGUGUAUGAGUCUUUAUGAGUCCUCAACUCAUGAAUAAUUUGAUGACUGACAAGUGUGUGAUUAUCUUCUCCUUUACUGAGUAAAGUCGAAACAACUCAAAUACCGCAAUUAACGUCGCCCUCAAUAUUGAUAAUUCGUUUGAAUGAAUUUUUUGUGUGGAGGCGGUGAAUAGGAGGUUUGCUAAUGCGAGUUCCUUCAAACUUGCUCGAGAUAUAUUGUCGACCAACUGAGUAUAAAGAUAGUUGUCUUUAAAUCUGUGUUCAAAAACUGUGAUGCUCCGACUGAAUGAUGUUUGUAUAUCAUUAUACUGAUUAUGGAUAAUUUGUUUCACAGAGUCCUAAUAUCUACACAAAUCUUUCUUACUAUUUCUCAACCAACUCUUCAAUGUAUCCCAUAUUUCCUUCGUGGAAUUACAAAUAUGGAUAUGGAAAUAUUUAUUUUCAUCUAAAGACAUGGCUUAGAAAAUAUUAGUUUUAAAAUUAAUUUCAAAUAUCAUCUUUUCUUCUACAAUCCAAAGAUUAUCAAGUUUAUCUACCACUUCACCAUUAACUUGGUGAAUAUGGAUAAACAGACAACUUAUUAUUGUUUUCCACAAUUCAAUAUCAAAAAUUUGAAUAAAUAUUUUAAAUAUAUAUUUCCAUAUUUUAAAUAUAUCACCAUUAAAUGGUUGAGGUGUGUUUAAGAAAGUUCUCUUGUUACAAAUUGUAUUGGAUGUCAUCUUCCUCCUUGGAUGAUUAGUCCUAAAUAGGAGUUAGGCUCUGAUGCCCCUUGUUGAACAUGGGACUCCAUACACAAGAGGGGGUGAACUGUGGAGGUUUGAAUUUUUUGAUUAAAAAUAUUGUUUUCUAAAUCAGAGUUUAAAAAUAUUUUGAUAAAAAACUUUGAAUAAACAACAGAAAUUUGAAGGUAAAGAAAAUAAUCGGAUAGUAAAAGAGUUAAGGGAAGAAUACUAACACUAGAUAUUUGUAGAGGUUAGUUGAUCAUAAAAGUUUAUAACUUUAUUAUGGACUUGAUAAAACAACAGAAAUUUGAAGGUAAAGAAAAUAAUCGGAUAGUAAAAGAGUUAAGGGAAGAAUACUAACACUAGAUAUUUGUAGAGGUUAGUUGAUCAUAAAAGUUUAUAACUUUAUUAUGGACUUGAUGUUGGUGUAAGCCCUAGAGGCCAAUAGUUUUGGUACUUGUAUCGAAUUAUUUAUUAAUGAUAAAAAGGCUUUUAAUUUAUUAUGGUUGUUUAAUAAAGUCCCUGGAAUAGAUAGUCCGUUUAAUGUAUCAAGUGUGACUUGAUCAUGAGAGCACAUUAAACAUAGGGACACUAUUCUUAAAGUUUAGACUGAUGAUCACAUCUCAUGGAUCAUGGAUAAAGACUAUUAAAGCAUUAAGACUAUUAUGUUUGUAGACUGAUGAUCACAUCUCAUGGAUCAUGGAUAAAGAGUUAUCAAGUCUUAAACAUAGGUAUGAAUAUUAUGAGUAAUAUUUAUACUAGAUUGACCCGCUAUGAGAAUACUAUAUAGAAUGUUAUGCAAAGUGUCAUAAGUUAUUCUCAUGGUGAUAAUAGUGUAUACCACUCUUCGACCUGAAACCAAUAUGGAUCCUAGAUGUAGAGUCGAGUGCUUUAUUGCUGAUCCAACGUUAUCCGUAACUGGAUAACCAUAAAAACAGUUGAUGUGUACUCCACGAAGCAUGCUGAGGGACAUGAGUGACCUAGAUGGAAUUUGUCCAUCCUGCAUAACAGGAUAAAUAUCUAUGGGCCCAAUAUUGAACUGGACAAGGAUGACACGGUCUAUGCCUUGUGUUCAAUAUAGACAUAAGGGCAAAAGGGUAAUUAUACAUAUAAGUAUUACCACAGAAGGUUUUGUCAGAUCACAUGACAUUUUCGUGUCUUGGGUAGCAGUGAUGUGUUGCUAGAUACCGCUCACUGUUUAUUAUGUUAAAUGCGUGAUUUAAUAUAAUUGCCAACGUCACGAAAACCUAUGCAGGGUCACACACAAAAGGACGGACUUGAUUGAGAUGACUAGAUAACUAAGGAAUAACCGUAAAGUACGUGCCGUUAAGUGAAUUAUAAGAACCAAUCGAAGGUAACGGUGAGCUUGAGUAGAAUACGAAAUAUGGGCAAGGUACCAUGGGCUUAAGUGAUUUUGGGCAUAUUAUAAGAUAUGGGCCAAAAUACACUUAAGUGGGCUUUUUAGCUUGAAGCCCACACAAGUGGUUCUAUAAAUAGAACCCUUGUGCAAAAGCAUUAAUUGCGGUUGCAUCAUUUUCGUUUUCUCUCCCUCUCUCUCACUCAAAGCCUUCAUUCGUACCAGCUAACACUGAGAUUGAAGGAAUCUGUUCGUGUGGACUGAGUAGAGACGUUGUCAUCGUUCAACGUUCGUGAUCGCUCUGUGGAUCUGCAUCAAAGGUUUUGAUCGUCACAAGAGAUCUACACGAAAGGUUUCAAUCGUCACAAGAGGUAAAUAUUUUAUCACUGAUCAUGACCAUUCGUAAGGAUCUCUAAAGGAAAAAAUGUUAAUUUCCGUUGCGUUUUGGAUCGCAAUUCUCCUUCAGUGGUAUCAAAGCCACUUACGAAACCAUGAAUCGGAUAGCUGUUUAAUUUCUGCAUUAAUAUGAAUAAAAGACAUAAUGAAUCAAUUAAUUAAACGGGUAAUUAAAUUUGGCAUCAUGAGUGUACGAGUUGGAUGAUUGAUGUUGACUAUGCUUCGGUACCGACAUUAGUAUGGUGAAGUAGCGAUACAUCGAUCGUCCAUAUGAGACCGAUCAACUUAUUAUAUGAUAUAAGUAAUCUAAUCAGUCGUACAGUAUAUAUGAUAAUAUUUUCGUUUCGUUCAAUUCAAACACAAAUGGUUGUUUCCUUUGAGUCGAUCAUGGUCAAUCCGACAUUAGUAUGGUGAAGCAAUGACCUGUUGAUCAAUCAUACUGAAUCAACAAUCGAGGUGUGUUUGACGGUCUGAAAUUGGCGCAUUAGGGUUGGUGAUGGCGCAAGGGUUGUGCCGUCAAAGAGUUGUGAAUUUAGGGCUUUUUGGAACACGUUUGUUGACUGUUUCAAAGUUCUGUUAUCUUGGCCGCGUGAUGUUCGUCACGAGCUUGUGACGAUCGUAACAAGCUGGACGUGACGGUCGUCAUGUGCUUUGUGACGGUCGUCACAUUCACAAAUCCAGAAUUCUAGGCGUUUCUAUUUUUGGCCGCGUGACGUUCGUCAUGGGCCUGUGACGGUCGUAACAUGCUUGUGACGGUCGUAACAUGCUUGUGACGGUCGUCACACUCAUAGAGUCAGAAUUCUCGGGGUUUCUGUUUUGUGACUGCGCAAGAGUUAUGUUGAUGCAAAACGAUGUCCAUUUCAAAUGAAUUGUUCAUUAAAAUUUUUGGACAGGGGCGCUGCCCCCUUGAUCCCCGUCCGCUGAUCGGUCAGCGGAACCCCCGGCUAACUCUGCGUAGUAUGAUCGAUCGCCGAAAUUUAAUUUGGUUUUAAUAAAUUAAAGGAAGUAAAAAUUAAUAAUAAUAAUAAUGUGUUUAUCGUUAUUGCCUUAUGGUGAUCAGUUAUGGCAUUAGUCUUCCUUCAUUUUGUUUUGGGUUUUUAAAUACAACGUGCGUGUCGUGCCUCUCCUUUUUAUCUCUUAAUGUAACUUCUUUUCUCAUCUCAAUCCCUUGUAUGUAAAAGGAGUCUCUUCAUAUAAUGUAAUGUUAUGAAGAGAGAAAAGAAGACAAUAUUAUGAAGAAAGAGAAGAAUUCAAUAUCAAAGGAGGACAACCUUGAAGAUCUUACUUGGAGAAGCUUAGAUCGUUAUUAGGUUAACUUAGGUUCUCUCAUUGGCUUGGGAGAACAAUUGCGCUAGGGGCCAUAACUGUUUCAUUAUGUAUGUUGAUGUAUGUGUAUGUAUGUUGAUGCAUAUGAAUAUAUGUUGAUGCAUGUGAGAGACGAUUUAUAUGAUAAAUAAGCUUGUGAGAUCAGAACAAUUGCAAUUCCCUCAAAUUAAAUAUUAAGUUUAUGCUUUCCAAGUUUUAACACUCAUCAAGACUAGUAAUGGAUAAUGUAGGUUUCGCCUACGCGAGGUGCAUGAUCUAUAUAUUAGUAAGGUGCGAUGGGAUAAUUGUAAUAUCCAACUGUUAAAACAAUGGGUCAAACUUAACUAAACAAAUUAUGAUAAUAUUAUAUAUGUUUGCUUUCCAAGUUUUAGCACUCAUCAAGACUGGUAUCGNNNNNNNNNNNNNNNNNNNNNNNNNNNNNNNNNNNNNNNNNNNNNNNNNNNNNNNNNNNNNNNNNNNNNNNNNNNNNNNNNNNNNNNNNNNNNNNNNNNNNNNNNNNNNNNNNNNNNNNNNNNNNNNNNNNNNNNNNNNNNNNNNNNNNNNNNNNNNNNNNNNNNNNNNNNNNNNNNNNNNNNNNNNNNNNNNNNNNNNNNNNNNNNNNNNNNNNNNNNNNNNNNNNNNNNNNNNNNNNNNNNNNNNNNNNNNNNNNNNNNNNNNNNNNNNNNNNNNNNNNNNNNNNNNNNNNNNNNNNNNNNNNNNNNNNNNNNNNNNNNNNNNNNNNNNNNNNNNNNNNNNNNNNCACGCUUGCAUCUAAAACCUGACAAGAAAACGAACUGGGACAUUAAUUCUGGAUGGGUACCACGAAACCUGAGAAUGUCCUCAAAAAGAGAAGGAAAGGCAAGGAAUGCCAACCAAGCCACGAGUACAAUUUUAAAGCCUAGGGAGGACAUAGAAAAAAGGGCACAUGCUUCCAGGCGUAAACCAGACACGGAAAGAACUCCCAAAACACCUGAAAGAAUAGGAAGUAUGAGUAGAGACCCAAACUUAGGUAUUUGGUAUGAAAUAAUAGAUACUCAGGCACAGGUAUUAAUACUGAUCCGGUCUCCACAUUUAGCAAAUGUCAAGAACUAAGGAUAAAAAGGCAAAAGAAGUCGACCCUACAUUGGUAAUAGCAAAGGUUCGCCUAGCCGAAACUAGAAUUGACUACCUAGGGUAAUAACAGUGAGAGAACCUUUAUAGUACCAGCAAUAGCAGAAAUAUUCCCCUGUUGACAAGUCGUCUCAUCGAAUAACAAUGGUCAAUAUGUGAAGAUAUACAUACACUGCACAAAUAACAAAUGAAUAAUUCCUGACUGAAAAUGCCUAUUACAAAUACAAAAGAUGAAACCGAAUGACGUAAACUCCACUUACCUUGGCAUUCAAAGCCCAUAAAAAAACGCAUUAAAAACCCAUAAAGAUGACCGUGAACUCUUUGAUAGAAUCAGAGAACAUCGCAAACUGUUAAAUGGAAAGAUGACAAAGUCUCCAUUCACAGAAACAGGAAAAAGAGCAAUAUCUUUGGCUCAUCACAACGAUAUUGUCCCACUGAACAACCACCAGAGAUUCAUACAUCAUCCACACUCACCGAUAUCAGUAAUCUGCAUCAAAGUUUGGCAUCGCAGCAAGAGACACCAAAAUUUCAAUCGUCACAAAAAGAAAAUAUCUAGCACUGAUCAUGACCACUCGAACGAAUUCCUCUAAAGGAGAAAAUUUUAAUUUCCGCUGCGUUUUGGACCGCAAUUCUCCUUCAGAUGCCACCGAUCUACCUAGACGUCCUCAGACGGGAUCUAUAUCCAAGGGUUCUAAUGACUUUGCUUCGAGGUGGCUCGGAAUCGGCGUAACCGCUUAUUUGGCAUCACACCAGAAUUUGGUGGAUCAAAUCGACACAAAUCUAAAAUCUUGGCUUCGUGACUUUGAUUUCUUCGUUGGAGACUUCUGCGAAAAUCAUAUAUGAGGGUCCAACGUGAAAACGUGAAAAUCAUUUGAAUCGAAAGUCAAUUUUUACAAACAGAAUCAUUGUUUCGUUGCGGAAUCAGAAAUAGUGUUGAUGUCAUGCUGUUAACGGUGUUGUCGUCUCGAAUACGGUGGACUUUAUGGGGUACCUGCAUGGUUAACACUUUAAUGCCCAAGUGAGUUUAGGGUUCAAGGUUGAAGGUAGUGAAAGUUGAGAUUAAAGAUUGUGUAUACUAGAACGCUUUUUGAAGGUAUUUAUACAUUGUGUCAAGUUUUUUUCCUUUUAUCGUCCCUUCUCAUUUAUAUAUAUACACAAUAGACUUUCUGUAAAGAAAAAGGGUCUAGCCUUUUUAAACUAGACAUAUUGGCCCCAUUGAUAAAUUAAUGUAAUCAUAAUUUAGGAAUUGAUACUCAUUUUGAAAUAUUGAUCAUUACAAAACUUUGACACCAUGAGAUAAAGAAAAAGGGUCUAGCCUUUUUAAACUAGACAUAUUGGCCCCAUUGAUAAAUUAAUGUAAUCAUAAUUUAGGAAUUGAUACUCAUUUUGAAAUAUUGAUCAUUACAAAACUUUGACACCAUGAGUAAUUAAUUUUAUGGAAUGUAAAAACGAUUUGAAAUUGGUAUAUGAAAGGUGAAAAAUAAAAAGUGAGGUAAGAGGCUAGUAGAGAUAGUAAUUGAAACCAAUAAUAAUUGCUUCUUAUUAUUAACUUGUUACUAAAAUAGUACAGAUACUUCAUGAUACAUAAGAGAGAGAGAGAAAGAGAAGCAAUUCAUAUCUCACAAAUUCUAACAUAACAUAAUACAAAGACAUAAGCAGUAAAAAGAGCACCCGAUAACUGAUAGAUCUUUUAAGCGUUGCUAUUAAUUAUAGUAUGUAUGAUCCGUGAAAUAAAAACAAAUUACUAGCUAGCUAAGAACCUAUUAAGUAAUCACUUUUUAGUAAAGAGUUUUUGAAUCUGUUCCUCAAGUGAAUAUCUUGGAGCUGACGAGUUAGCAUCCCAAACAAAAACUCCAGCUAGUGAUGCAGUAUUAAGUAGGAUUGUGCAUCCCUUAACAAAGAAUUCGGUUGUCAUUGCAUACGAUUUACUUGUAAUUGUAUCGGUGCUAACUCCUGCCAAGAGUUUAAACGGUGCACCAUAUUCAUAAACUAGUCUUUUAAAGAGCUUAACAAACUCGAUCUCUGAGUCAAAACUCUGCUUAUAGAACUUGUAGUUAAUCCAAUCAAUCUUGUCUUUGUUUUUGAGAUACAGUCUGAGGUAGUAGCGUUGGAGAGCCUCUGUUGGAGCAAUGGACACCACACACAUGGAGUAGGAAAGAUCCUCAUCUUCCUUGAGUUGUUGUAUGACGUUCCCUAUGCAGUAGGCAAAGUCAUCCACACUGGAAUCGAUGUUUUCAUAGUUAAUAUCAAUACCGUAAGUCGUGCUAAUGGACAGUGCGAUAGAAAAGAGCAUUAGCAUUAAGAAGACCUAAAUAAACUAAAAGCUUCGAUUAAAAAAGUAAGACUUAUAGCGUUAAUAAAAGGGCAUAAGAAGUUCGAAUUAUUGCCGAGUCACAACAAUCCAAAUCUCAGUAGCAAAAUACAAUUGAUUUCAACAACUGUUAGGACACUGAUUCAGGCAGUUUUGAAGCCUAUUUAACGCAUUUUUCGAGAGUACAAUCAAGUGGAAGUUUAAGAUGAUCCUAAAUCCCUGCGGGCAUGAUCACGACAACAAUGAAAGAAUUCCACUUCAUUCUGGGCUUUCCACAGAUACGUUGUUACAUGGAAAAGGCACAGGAGUAUUCACCCGCACUUGAACUUUACAAACUUGGCCCAAGCACAGAGUGUUAGCUCAUUUGUAGAGCAUGGAUAGCUGAAGUGGUAAUAUGAAGCAUAGGAGGCCACGGGCCGAAGAUGUAUUCAAACCUAGAUAUGAGAAUCGGAUUGCGAACGCCAAACUCAGCAAAUAAAGGGAUCUCAUCCUGGAUUAACAGAGAUUGACGUCGGAUCAGGACGGCUAUUAGCACAGACUGUACGUUGAUUUAACUAUGAAAGCAUCGAUUCCCGUGUGGAGUGACUUUUGCCUACUGAUAGGGAACGUCUACACUCAGGAAGAUGAGAUCUUUCCUACUCCAUGGUGGUGCUGUCCAUGUCUCCAACAGAGGCUCUCCAACGUACUACCUCAGACUGUAUCUCAAAAAGCAAAGACAGGAGAUUGAUUGGCAUAACUACAAGCUUCUUAUAAAGCAGAGUUUGNNNNNNNNNNNNNNNNNNNNNNNNNNNNNNNNNNNNNNNNNNNNNNNNNNNNNNNNNNNNNNNNNNNNNNNNNNNNNNNNNNNNNNNNNNNNNNNNNNNNNNNNNNNNNNNNNNNNNNNNNNNNNNNNNNNNNNNNNNNNNNNNNNNNNNNNNNNNNNNNNNNNNNNNNNNNNNNNNNNNNNNNNNNNNNNNNNNNNNNNNNNNNNNNNNNNNNNNNNNNNNNNNNNNNNNNNNNNNNNNNNNNNNNNNNNNNNNNNNNNNNNNNNNNNNNNNNNNNNNNNNNNNNNNNNNNNNNNNNNNNNNNNNNNNNNNNNNNNNNNNNNNNNNNNNNNNNNNNNNNNNNNNNNNNNNNNNNNNNNNNNNNNNNNNNNNNNNNNNNNNNNNNNNNNNNNNNNNNNNNNNNNNNNNNNNNNNNNNNNNNNNNNNNNNNNNNNNNNNNNNNNNNNNNNNNNNNNNNNNNNNUUCAUUCUGGGGCUUUUUGCCACAGAUACGUAUGUUACAUGGAAAAGGCACAAGGAGUAUUCACCCGCACUUGGAACUUUACAAGACUUGGCCCAGCACAGAGUGUUGAGCUCAUUGUAGAGCGAUAGGAAGCUGAAAGUGGUAAUGAAGCAUAGGAGGCACAGGGCCUGAAGAUGUAUUCAAGACCGUCAGAAUAUGAGACAUCUGGAUGCGAACGCCAAUAUCGCUGUGCAGUAUAAACUAGUAGUAUUAAACAACACGUCUAGACAAUAACCAAGUAUAUGCUUAGAUGUGCAUUCCAAAUGCUUCAAAAUAAAGUAUGCAUACACUUGCCUAUUCUUUUAAUCAAUUUUUUGGUUUGACAAAUUUAUUCUAAUUAAUUAAGUUAGAAGCAAGAUUCAUCAAAUUAUAAAUACUAUUAUAUGUCACUAUUCCCUUAAAAAUGUUCACACUACGGUUGUUAGGGAUGCAUGAAGGAAAAAAAAACAAUUCCAAGCAUAAGGAGUCUCAAGGAUACGAGUCCUAUUUUUAUCCAAGCAGAAUUACUUAUUUUAAUCAAAUUAGUUCUAAGAUUAACCAUUUGGCCUAAGGGUUCUCUUUCCAACCCAAAGUUGGUUUUUCAAAACAUACCCUAUAUACAUUAAUGAUGUAUAUCAGAGAUUUCUUAAUGCACCAUAUAUAUUAUUAGGACACAACAUAAAAAUAUAAAAAUAUCUUUAGAUUUCAAAAAUGCAUAUUUGGACGCAUCUCAAACACAAACGACGUAUGUCAGUUCUGAAUCAUGUCAUAAAAGUGUGGUGUUUUUUUAAUCCGAAGAUGCAUCUCCGAAAUCUAUUGGUAGAUACAUCUCCGUAGCAAACUGAAACAGAAAUAGUAGAAGAAAACUAACACUACGCCAAAAACUGGAAUAGACAGCGCACCUUAGAGGGCGCUUUAUUACAAAAGCGCUCUCUAAAGUGAAGCGAAAAAUAAGGAGCAAUAGACAGCGCCCUCUAAGGUGAAGCGAAAAAAUAAGGAGGAGAUAGAGGGACAACAAUACAUGGCGCUUUUUAGAAAGCGCCCUCUAAGGUUACCCUUAGAGGGCGCUUUUAAUAAAGCGCUGUUAUAAGUCCCAGUGCAUUCCACUUAAAAGCGGCUCUGAAAGCCUUAGACGAGCCUCAAAGCGCCCCUUAGCGCCCCCUGAUAGAGGCGCUUUUUUCCCAACAAGCGCCUCUAAUGUCCCCUUUAGUUAACAUUAAUAAUAACAUACUCGCGUUUGUUAUCUUCUUCUUUCACGUGGGUAUGGCAUAAAAGGUAUCAUGUGCGGUAGUUCCUAUUUGGAAGAAAAACAAGAUUUGGAAGCGCUUGGAGUUUUGUCACAAAGAUCUUUCUCGGUCAUCGGAGAUUCUUAAAUUCAAAUCAUCACUACCGUGGAUGGAGAAACGGCGUUCAAUGAGAGACAGAACAAGGCAGAGCACCACCGUGUAUGACGGUUGACAAAUUUUUGAAAGGAAAGAUUUGGAUAUCAGUUUGGGCAAGCCUUUGCCCACACACUUUUGUCAAAAGUGGUGGAAGAAGAGGUCAGUUUUUUUUGAAUUGCCGUAUUUGGAAGUCCUGUUAUGUGAACAUUUCUGAUGUUAUUGCAUAUUGAAAAAAAAUGUAUAUUGAAUGUUAUUGCACGUUACCAAUAUACAAAGGAAAGUCUAACGGAGGCCUAAGGCAACAGAAAGACUUGAGACGAUCGAAUAUACAACUAAAUUAGGACCCUUGAAGAAAGGAAACGAACAUUAACUACCCCUGCUGCUUGCUAUACUCUAUCUAGAAAGGAGAAAAAAAACAUUGUGCUUAAGUUUCUAGUGAGUUAAAGAAUUCCAGAAGGGUACCUUCAGAAUUGAAGACUUAUGUGUCCAUGAAAGACCUUCAAUUAAAGAGUUUAAAGACCCAUGAAUUGCCAGGUUUAUAAUGGAACAUGUUCUCCCAAUAGGUAUACGUUCCAAUUUUCCUUCCGAAAAGUAAGAAGCUACUGAUACAAGUUGGUUCUUUCUUCAAGUCAAUUUGCAGUAAGGGCACGAAUCCUGCAUCUGUACCAAUGUUGCAAAAAAAUCGUAUUACUUUGUGUGAGCUUGAAAUGUUUUUCCUCAUUCAUUUUUUGCAUAUGGUACUUCUAGUUGUUCAUCUUGUGAAAGAGACAAAUUGGUGUGGACACAUUAUAUGAGAUGGAUGUACGCCUGUGAAACGUUAUAUGAAAAUAUUAAAUAGGUACGAGAAACGAAGUCUGACAGAAGUUGUAUGGUUGAAAAGAUACAUUGUUGAAGAACGCGAUUUGGUUUUGUACUGAAAAUUUGUUCUAAGUUCAGUCAUCGGGACUCCCAAGUCUCAGUCUUGCUCGAAGAAAGAAAAGAAAGACAAAAAAUCUAUUAGGAAAUAAACGUGGCAGUCAAAGGUCGAACACGGGAUGCAAGUGCAUUGUAUGUUCUGCACAAUGAGAAUCCCGAGGUGAGCAGUAUGUGAAAUUCACAAGGUGUUCUCCGAGUUUAAAUCCAAAUAGAAAGAUGAACAAUGGAUAGAUACAGAGACACAAUCAGAUUGUUAUACCUGUAAGAUCUAUUAUUACAAAGUAUUAUACGAGAUUUCCCGCUUCAAUAACAGAAGAGGUUGAGAUGCUUAGCUAAUAAAUGGUCCAAUCCAGUUUUCUUUAUAGCGGCAUACAACAGGCAUAUGAUACACAUUUACAGAAGAACAAGAUGAAAAAGUACUAUGCAAUAUGGAUGUCACCGGUGGAGACUGAACGAUGCACAUAUCAAAGUGUGACGGACUUAACCCCAAUUGCAAAUCUGUCGUAUUUUGUGUAUACGAGCCGCCCAUUUGGGUGUUUUGAUUAUGAGAAGUUUUACAAUUCCUAAAUGUUGCAAGUGGUUGAAAUAAAAUAACGCCAUUCGAAUGGAUAAAUGGUCAGGUAUUUGCAAGGGAUUUAAUAGGGUGGGAUACAAAGAUGAGUUUUUAUCUAGCCUCGGUCAAGUAGACCAAGUGCUUCUACUGUCAAGGAUCACCGAAAGUACAAUGGUCUAUAAUCUUUUUUUCCAACAAAGUAAUUGAUAAGAAAACUAGAGAUCAAGGUGAUAUGAUGUUGAGGAGAAUCGUUUACCAGAAAUGAUCAAGAUGAGAAUGAUUUAACAAAUGAUCAUAGAUUAGAAAUGAUCUAAUGAGGGUAUUUGGAUCAAUCCAACGUCCGUUUGUUAAGAGACAAUGUAGAACAUAUUCCAAACCAAAGAAAGAAUUAGUUAGAACAGGUAAAAGGUACAUGCAUUUAAGUUUUAUCUUAAGGUCUAAUAAAUGACUUUUAUGAUUUUAAUGUUUUACAUUUGUCAUCUGAUUUUAAUUGUGUUCUUAUUACAGGUAAAGUGCUAUUAAUGAAGUCAAUCAUUCGGCAAGAGACAAGGGUGUAAACAAUUUGAAGUACAUGGAGUGCUGAGACAACACUAUUUUUUCAAAAGGCUUGUGUCUCAAUAAGGCAUGGUAUCUACCUAAAGUUACUUUUGUUAGUGUCCAAAGGGACAUCACACCCGUCUCUUUCCUGUCAACCCCCAAACGAGACGAUUAGAAGUGGAAUAUUAUGCCAGUUUUCAAUUAUAUUCUCAACGCAGCGGUUAAUUAUAUCAUUGAAUUAUCACUUUGGCUGAUUUGUUGUUUCAAUUAUUUCAAGAACCGUUGUAAGAACACAGCAUUUGUCCCCUAGGGAAUUGAUUUUUACCUUAACAAGCCCUGCAGAGAAUUCAGGUAAUAUAUAGUCAUUUAACUUAUGCAUUGUUACUAUUUGUGCUCAUCGCCUUUUUGACACAAGUUUUCUGUGUUAUUGCCAUUUGGCUGUUCUUUUGCAGGGGACUAGUCGACCAAACGCAUAUCAUGUGCUUAUGAAUGAAAAUAAUUCACUAGCAGGACCACUACAGAGUUGACCAAUAACUUGUGCUACACGUUAAUUGAUAUGAUUUGCUUUUUUCUUAUAAAUAUUGUUCCUUGUCUUCAUGUAAUUUAGAGCCUUCUGAUACUAGUUUUUUCCAUUCAGUAAUGCGAGGUGUACUCGAUCUGUUCCAAUAGGUUUGUUACCAUUCCCUUUGCUUGUAUUUUGUUUUAGCCUUACACACUUUGUUACAAAAUUUUAUCUUUUAUGCAGUUCCUGCCUAUUAUGCACACUUGCUAUUAUUUCCCAUGGUGUGGAUGGCCGUUAUCUUUGUUUAGUAUGGUUUAGACUUAAGAGCUUUGGAAUACAGUUGUGCAUGGGGUGUUGGUGCUUGAUCUUCGAGACAUAGUUGUAUUAUCUCGAUUUCGUAUUCGGGUGAUGGGUAAAUAUCCGAGUAUGAGAAGAGUUUGACGCAAGUGAAUAUCCCCUAAAUAUUCGGUGUAGUAUUGUAUUACUUUAAUAUAUGUCUGUCAAUAUUUCAUCUAAUUUGUUACUAAAUAUGAAUAUGUUCAUCUCUUAAUUGUAUACUUGAGGAAUACAAAUCUUACCAAGAGCUCAUUGGGAUGAAAUGAAGAUAAUGUGUCAAUCAUUGUGAUCAAAGAAUCAUUAGCUAGGUUGUAUAUUGUUGACAUAUAUGUAUGGAAUAUUGUUGUGUUGUAUGCUGCUUGUUCUGUAUAAUGUUUAUAUUGUUGUUGUAUCUUACUAAAUCAUGAAUAUGUUGUUGUAUAUUGUUGAUCAAAGAAUCAUAUAUUAAUGUUGUAUAUAUUGGAGGAUUAAUGUUGUAUAUAAGGAGUCAGUUGUAUAUAUCAAUGGAUUAAUGGUGUAUAACAUUGGAUUAAAGGAUGAAAUCAAUAUGAAUUUUACACUUUUGCAGCAUUCGAACAGGUUACCAAUAAAUAUCCACUUUUUCAAACAAAUUUUUUAAAUAACUAACACUUUAGAGGCGCUUUGUCCAGAAAGCGCCCUCUAAACACUUACAUUGACAACUUUAGAGGGCGCUUUUCCAGAAAGCGCCCUCUAAACAUACAUUGACAACUUUAGAGGGCGCUUUUUCCUGAAAGCGCCCCUAAACACUUUACAUUGACAACUUUAGAGGCGCGCUUUCCUGAAAGCGCCCUCAAACACUUUCAUUGACAACUUUAGAGGGCACUUUCCAGAAAGCGCCCUUACAGGUGUCCCUUUAUGGACCCACUCCAGAGGGCGCUUUUUCUGAAGCGCACUAUAAUGUGGCCACUUUAGACAGCGCUUUUCUCCAGGAAAACAAAGCGUGUCUUUACCUUAUGUCACGCCACCUUAGAGGGCGCUUAAAAGCGCUGUAUAGGCCAAAUAACGCCCUCUUUCCCUUAUUUGGCGUAGUGUAAAAUAGUUAUAUUUUGACAAAAUAAAAUUAUCAUUCCAUAACAUAAAAUCAACAUGACAUAUACGAUGUUAACUGUAAAAUCAAGAAUUACAUUUCAAAAUAUACAGGUGGACGCUUCAAAAUCUUCACCAAUAUCUUCGAUCGACUUGAUGAAUCGUCGCCAUUCCCGUCAUUCCCGAAUUUUUGUUUUCGUAACGGAAAAAUAUAUUCAACAUAAGCCUCACAUCCCAUUGGUCCUUGAGUUUUCAUAGUUGUUGAACUCAAUCUUGCCUUCGUUGUUAAUUGACGUAGAACGGUACUCGAGCUUCACAAUUUUUCGAUUAUCUCCGUAAUAUAAGAGAUUAUUAACUUCGCAUUGUAGAUCUGCAAAUGAGAUAUACUCAUUGAUCUUAAAUUUUUACCUGGGUGUCGCACUGGAAAAUGAGACAUUUGUGAAAUACCAGAUGAUGUUCAUUUGCGACAUUUUAUGUUUGUAUGAAAUAAAAAACAUGAGCCUAUAUUUAUAGAAGUUGUAGACAUAUAUUGACCUUAAAAGUUAUAUCUUGUAUUAGUGGAGGUUCCGGAGAUGAAUCUUCAAAACCUCUCCUGAUCUAGACAGAAAACAAAACUUGUGUAUUUUGUUUGGCAAAUGGACAAAUUUUUUGACAAACAUCAAAAUGUAUUAAAAUAUUUGAAAUUUUAUAUACUACACUUCAUUAAUAUUAAUACACAAUUACAUAUAAUUAAUUGAUGCCAAAAAAUUAAAGCGAAUCGAAAGAUCUGUCCCAGCUAAAUCUAUAGUAUGAGUGAUCCCCAUUUGACUUUUGUGCAUUUUAUUCUCUUUCAAUGUCCCUCAAUUUGGUGAACUCCUACAUCAUUUCCAUAAAUUGGUUAGGCCAAAUCUCGAAUUUUGUUGUUGAAUGAGCCAUCAACUCCAUUAAUGUAAGUGGUAUAGGGUAUCCCAAUUUCAAAUAAACUUGACCAAAGUGCCAUCAUUUUGAAAGCCUCUUAAUACACAUAAUACAAUCAUUUGGAUUUUGAGGUGGGGCAGUGCGCAAUGAGGAAAAAGUUUCCGAAAAAUCGUUUCUUGUAAGAUUAAUACACACUCUAUAUCAUACACACUUUCUAUAAAAUGACACAUUUCAGGGAAACGCGUCCAUUUUUCCUCCAGUGCUGGUCCACUAAUGCAAGGAACAAAAGACUCAGAAAUUGCAUUAACAUUUUAUUUCCUUCCGUAAAGUCGUGCAUAUGAGUUUUUAUGGGGCCUUAACUCAUGGAUAAUUUGAUGACUAACAAGUGUGUGAUUAUCUUCUCCUUUACCGAGUAAAGUCGAAACAACAAAAAAACCGCAAUUAACGUCGCCCUCAAUAUUGACAAUUCGUUUGAAUGAAUUUUUUGUGUGGAGGCGGUGAAUAGGGAUGUUUGCUAAUGCGAGUUCCUUCAAACUUGCUCGAGAUAUGUUGUCGACCAACUGAGUAUAAAGAUUUUUUUCUUCAAAUCUGUGUUCAAAAACUAUGAUGCUUCGACUGAAUGAUGUUUGUAUAUCAUUAUACUUGUUAUGGAUAAUUUGUUUCACAGAGUCCUAAUAUCUACACAAAUCUCCCUUACUAUUUCCCAACCAACUCUUUAAUGUGUCCCACAUUUCCUUCGUGGAAUUACAAAUAUGGAUAUGGAAAUAUUUAUUUUCAUCUAAAGACAUGGCUUAGAAAAUUUUAGUUUUAAAAUUAAUUUCAAAUAUUAUCUUUUCUUCUACGGCCCAAACAUUAUCAAGUUUAUCUACCACUUCACCAUCAACUUGGUGAAUAUGGAUAAAUAGACAACUUAUUAUUGUUUUCCAUAAUUCAAUAUCAAAAAUUUGAAUAAAUAUUUUAAAUAUAUAUUUCCAUAAUUUAAAUCUAUCACCAUUAAAUGGUUGAGGUGUGUUUAAGAAAGUUCUCUUGUAACAAAUUGUAUUGGAUGUCAUCUUCCUCCUGGUAGGGAUGGCAAUUUGACCCAUUCCCAAUGAGCACCCAUAAAUUUACCCACAACGGGUAGGGUAAAAACCCACAAAAAUGGGUAUGGGCAUGGGCUCGGGUAAUUAACCAUAAAAAUAAGCGGGUACGGGUGCGGGUAUGGGCACCUUGGUACCCAACCCGCCCCAUACCCGCAUACUAUAUAUUUAUGUAUUUUUAUUUUGAUUUACAUAUUUUAGUUUAUAUUAUUAUAUAAAAAUGUAUGUCUAUCAAUUAUAAAACGUAUAUCAAUGUUAAACCAUUAAAUAUUUAAUUAAGUGCUCGUUUAUUUUAAUAAUAAAAUGUUUGAAAUUUUUUUAAUUGUUUUUAAAAACUUAAAAUUAUAUGAUUUUUUAUAAUUGAUCUAUUUAUUUUAAUAAAAAUGCGGGUCACGGGUGCGGACAUGGGUACCUACAUACCCAUAGGGCACGGGCACAGGUGCUAACUUUGGCACCCAGGCGGGUAUGGGCUCGGGCACGGGGAUUUUUUCAAAUCGUGGGUAUGGGGAUGGGUACUAUAGUACCAUGUCCAAACCCUUCACAUUGCCAUCCCUACCUCCUGGAAUGAUAGGCCUAAAUAGGAGUUAGGCUUCGAUGCCCCUUGUUGAACAUGGGACUCCAUACACAAGAGGGGGUGAACUGUAGAGGUUUGAAAUUUUUUUAUUAAAAUAUUGUUUUCUAAAUCAGAGUUUAAAAAUAUUUUGAUAAAAAACUUUGAAUAAACAAUAGAAAUUUGAAGGUAAAGAAAAUAAUCGGAUAGUAAAAGAGUUAAGGGAAGAAUACUAACACUAGAUAUUUGUAGAGGUUAGUUGAUCAUAAAAGUUUAUAACUUUAUUAUGGACUUGAUUCACCAUAAGAAAUUUGAAGGUAAAGAAAAUAAUCGGAUAGUAAAAGAGUUAAGGGAAGAAUACUAACACUAGAUAUUUGUAGAGGUUAGUUGAUCAUAAAAGUUUAUAACUUUAUUAUGGACUUGAUUCACCAUCAUAUAAUCGAUUAGGUAUUUGUUCUAAUCGGUUAGACAAUUCAAAAAAAAUUCGUAAUCACGUUUACAAUUUCGAAUUCAAUCGAUUAAGCUUAAUUUUAUUAUUUUAGUUUAAAAAUAGAGACUUCAAACAUAUUUUUAGUGUUUUUGUGAUUUAGCCAUUAUACUUAUGAAAAUGUCGUUGUGUUCUUGCAAUACAUUGAUCACUCAGUCGGACAGGAUCAUGCAAUCUUUUACACUUAUUCUUUUUUACACAUUGAAGCUUCAAGUUCUUUGUCGUGUUUAAAAAUCAUAUACGCACUUUAAUAAAAUAUUCUAUUAGACGAGGCUUGAGGUAUCUUCAACUUAUGUCACAAUCAUUAGCCAGUGGUAAAGAUAUCAUUGGUGAUCAUAAACUUUGAUUCUUCAUUCAAGCCAAUUUUAGUCUGAUUCAAAAGGAGAGCUUGAUCUUGGUCCACCAUCUUAUGAAUCUUUGACCACUUGGAUUCAUUCUUUGUCGUCAUCAAAACAAUAAAAGCUAAACAAUUUCUUCUUUAAGUCUUACAGCAUCAAAGCUAAGAAUUUUCUUCUUUAACUCUUGUUAUCCAUUGGUUUCAUCAUCUUGGUUAUACUUUCUAGCAAAUGGUUUAAGACAUACCAACUCUUGGAUUUUUAGCCAAGCCCAAAAGGUCACAUAUCAAUACCUCAGUUCAUAUAUGAGGAUGGACAUUAACUAAUUCCAUAAAAGGUACGUAUACAUAGCCUCUUACAACUUCCCACAAACCCAACAUAGACGUAAACACUUGACCCACUCCUUUUUAUAAGAAUUUAUUCUUUAUAGUUCCACAAAAAAGUAAUGCACUAAGCUUUUAAGGAUAUGCAUAUAUAUUGAACAUCUGACCUCACACACAAGAAGAUGAGUGAAUUGUGGGGGUUUAAAAAACAAUAGUUUUAAAACAUAUUGUUAUCAUUUUCAGAGUUUAAAGGUAUUUUAAUAAAAUAAAAAGAUUACAAUCUUAACAGCGAAAAAUAAAUAUGUAAAAAUAAAGAGUUAAAGGUAAGAGAAAAUAUAUCAUAAAAUUAUACGGGUACUAUCAAAAAGAUCCUAAUCUUGUCCCAAAAUUUUGAUCUUGAAAGUAUCCGAUAAUUCGUACUGUUAUUUGGUUAAACUUUCGAUGUGGUUUUUAAACAUUUUAUGAGUAGUUUUUUUUCUUAAAGUAAGGUUUGUUUUAGCUGUUUUUGUGAUUUUGUUGACUUUUUGUUUGUUUUGUUGUUUUGGAUUGUUUGCAUGAUUGAUCGAGUAUCUAUUGUGUUUGUGGCAAGUUUCCUAAAUUUUUUUGGGACCUUUUGUUACCCCAUCUCAUUUAUAUAUACAUUAUACUUUCUCUAAAAACGGGUCUAGCCUUUUUAAACUAGACAUAUUGCCCCAUUUAAUUUUGAAAUAUUAAUAAUUACAAUACUCUGAUACCAAGAAUACUCUGAUACCAAGAAUAACUAAUUUAUUGGAUUGUAAAAAGUAUUCGAAAUUGGAAUGUGAAAGGUGAAAUACAAAAGUGACGUAAGAGUCUAGUAUAUAUAGAGAUAGAAAACAAUAAUAUUUACGUCUUAUUAUUAACUUGAUACCAACAUAUUACCGAUAGUUCAUGAUACAUACAAGAAACGCAAUUCAUAUCUCACAAAUGUUAGAGAAUCGGGUAUGAUAAUCCUGGAUAACUUCGAAGAAUCGUGUUCGUACACUUUCCGAACAAAGUAUUUCGACCCUAUUCUUGCCUGGGUUCACGAAAUCUUUGUGGGGAUAAUUCUUGAAGAAGCAAUUUGUUUUUGCAAAGAGAAAUGUUCAGGAAUGUAGAGAGAAAGUUUGGUUUUGUUAUCAUCUUUUAAACGGAGGCCAAAUGACUCCUUACAUAGGAGAUCAAUAACAGAAACCGAAAAGACGCAAUUGUUCAGAAACGGUUACGUCGGUUGGGAAUGAUUCAACUGUUCAAAGAAAAUUUCGAACGGGCCACUUGCCCCGCACCCCGCCAGGGGCUUCGCCCCUUGGAACCCCGUUUCAAUUAUUCGCAUUCAAUUAUACGUUGGCUCGACGAGCAUGCACUCCGCACUACCCCUAACUCGUUUCCAAGCUUUAACGCAUAAUAGCAUCGCCCUGUAGUAAAUCACAUUACUACUAAAAUAUAUUGAUGAUACUAAAAUCACCAACAACAAAUCACAACAUUACAUAAUACUUAAAGAAAACAAAUAAGAUGCUGCAAAAUACAAACACAUAAGCAGUGAAAAGAGCACAUGAUCAAUCAAAGGUCUUACUUAGAAUAUAUAUCAUACUAUACAUAUCAUGACUCCUUGUUAUCCCUUAAGUGAAUAUGUGGGGGCAGGGGUAUUAGCAUCCCAUACAAAAGGGAGAAUUAGAGAAAAACUUGAUGAUUUUUUUAUCAGAAUUCAGGAAUAUCCAAAAGUCCAUGAUCUAAGACACCACAAAAAUCCUAGAUGGAAGUGACUAUAAAAGGAUCUUUUGGAGGAAAUACAAAGGAGUUCAACAAUUCAGAGAGAUAAACACUUAGUGAGAUUUGAUGAAUAGACUGAGAUGAACAAAGUGGAAAACUUAUUCUUCUAAUUUUCUCAAGGGUAUGCUACCAGUAUCUGGUGCGACAAAGCAUGUCUCUUACUGAUUAAAGAUUGCAAGAAGACGGAGAAGUUAUUCUUAAGUUUUUCAUUUCUUUUUUUAUUAUAUGCUUAAGAAUGUUGAGCUUAAGAUCCAGUAUUAAUGUAUGUACUAAGAUCAUCAUGAGUUAAACUCCUUUAUAUUAAGAAAUGUGAAGUUAAUAUGAAAUAGUCAUCGUGUUAAAUGGUGUGUUGUUGGUGCUUUAUUUUAUCAUGUCUUAAACUGUUAUAAAUUUGUUUCUUUGAAUGACCAACUUAGGAAACGAUACAUGUUUGUUGUUGUGAGGCAUCCGACAACAAGUGGACUUCAUGAUAAAAGUGAUUAAAAAUAAUAGGAUAGAGAUAUUCAUUAGAUUAGAUACCUUAGACAGAAAGAGCUACCAUCAUUGAGGACGUUCGAAAUACAACCAGACACACGUUAAGUUACAAGUGAGGCUUAGACCCCUUAUUUUAUGUAUAUGUUUUUGAUGAUUUAGAGAAACACCACAAGAUCACUUUCUGAACUCUUCUGAUACGACAUAACACAUCAUAAACACACAAUAGAAAAUGUCAUAUUAACAUAUCAUUGUCCAACAUAUUCUCCAUUAAUUGAUUUCAUAUACUCUUGCCAAAGUACUCCUAUAACUAUUCUCUUUAAAAAGUACACAUGUGACAACCAUAAGCUAUUUUUACUCUUGCUUAUGUUCAUUUAUAAAAUAUAAUUUUACAAAUCAAUCUAAGUUACACCAUUUUCAUGUAUAUUUGCAUGUGACAUCACACGUUUUCAAACAAUAAAAAAGAGAAAAUAAUUGACUUCGCAAUAUAUAGUUUUAUUAAAAUUUAAAUGUGAAGGUGUUGUUGUGUCUGUAUGUAAUUAAAAUUUCUCAUGUAUUAAUGAGAUUUGAGGUAAUCUUUAUCCUAAUAUCCAAACAAUGUAAACAAAAACAGAUCAAAUCAAAAUGGUUCAUGUUUUCAAACAAUGUAUUAAUGAUAGAUUGGAAUGAUUUAGAAUAACAUUGGUUCAUGAAUUUUUUAAAAAUCCCACGGUACAAUUGUUCGAUUGAAUUGUGAAAUUAUAGCUAUCAAAACGGAUCACUCGACCCUAAUCGCUCAGGCCCUGAUAGGUCUCAAACUUUUUAGGGUCUGACCAAAAAUCCAGUUGUAAUAUGGACUCAAAAAUUAUUAUCCGAGCCCGACCCUAUACAGAUUUUGGGCUACUCGAUCCAAACUGAUUUUUUAAAUUAUUAUUUAUAUAAAAAUUAAAUUAAAAACUCUAUAAUAUUUAUUAUAAAUACAAUAAAAAAUUAUUAUUUUAAAGAUAAUGUAUUUUUAAGUACUAUAUUAUGUUUUAUAAAUACUAUAAUAUAUUUUUAAAUAUAAUACAUGACUAAAUUGUAUAUAAUAAUAAUAAUAAUAAAAUAUUUAAAAUAAGAGAAUAUAAUAUAAUACGAGAAAAUUGUAAAAUAAAACACACAAAAAUUGAAUACUAUUUUAAUUAUAUUAUAGUAUAAUAUUUAAGAGAAAAACGUUAAAUAGAACAUAGAUAAAAUUUAGUGAGAUGAGAGAAAUCGUCAUGUUAUUUUAAUGUGAGACAACAUAAGUAUUAAUAUAAUUUUUUAAAAUUUAUAGUUAUGCGGGCCUAACAGGUUACCUGCGGCCCAUACGAGAUAAACCUAAUGGUUAACAUAUUUUUAAGAAUCAGACAAAAAUAAUCCUAAAAAAUAUGAGAUCAAAUUAUAUUUUGGGAUUGGCGGCCGACCCAUAUGGGAUAGCCCAUUUUGACGGUUCUAGAUGCAACCAUUGUCACCUUUGCAACGUUCAAUUAUUUAUGGUAUAACCAUCAUGCAAUCGAUUUCACAAAUGUAGCAAUCUAUUUGCACUAAGUUAAGAAGAUUAUGGCGGUUUUAGAAGUGUGAUUAUGGCGAUUUCAGAUAUAAUUGAUGAAAAAUCAAUUUUAUUUUCCUUUUAAAAGACUUGGCAUGAAAUGUCUUGAUGCAUGAAUUUUUUAAAAACCUUAGAAAUUUGAUUAUUAGACUUUUUAUGAACAUCUAAAGUUUAUACAUAAUGAAUUGCAUAUGAGUACAUUAGCAUCAAGAUCAAUUUCAUUUACUUCCAAAAUAUUCAUAGGCUUAUGCAUUAUUGAUUCUUAAUUCCAAAAACUUUCUUCUUUGAUAUUUCUCAAUUGAUAAGAUUUUGUCUUCAUCAAAACUAGACAAAUAUAUUUGACGAACAUCUUUUUCAAAACUUAUUCAUCAAUAAAUGAUGCAAGAUAAGGCCAAAUCAACUCUCUUUGUAAGUCGUCUGUCUUAAAUCUUUAUCUUUUCUUUUUAAAAAUCACAACAUUUCCUCUCUCAAGUGUGUCUCACGUCAUUUCUUUUAUAUUCUCUUAUUUAUCUAUCUUCAUCUAUUUUUAUAUAAUUCUAUAAUCAUUAAUCAGUAUUUAUAACUCAUAUUUUGUGAGUUAUAACAUAUAUUAGCACUUAAGUUUAUCUUUUUUAUUCAAUUAACUACUAGUUUAAUUUAGUGCGUUUUGUGUGUUUUAGUGGAGUAUAAGGAUAUCAAUAGGUUAUCUCGUUUGUUAGUUUUUAUGUGGCGUAGAGGUGACUUCUGAAGACACCUAACACGAUUUUACUAGAGUAACAUUUUAACUUCACCUGAAAGUGAGGAGCUGAAUGCAAUGGUAGUUAUAGAGAGAUGACAUUCACAUUUUCAGGGCAUACAUGGGACCAGUCAACAAGAUGGAGUGCAUUUGAAUCAAAUAAGCAAAGAGGUAAGAUCAAGGAGCUAGCAGAGGACAAAAACUCUACACAAUAGUAAAACCACUAUAUUGUCCAACUUGUCCCCUUGAGGCAAAGGAUUGCUGCAAGCCACCACCACGGUUUUCCUGCGCCACUAAGCCUGACACAAUAAAGUUUAUCUCCUACAUGUUGCUUGUACCCUACUCUGCAGUCGUACAAAAAUGGAGAAUUAGAGGGAAACUUACUGAUUUCUUUGGGCCAAAAUUCACGAAUAUCCAAAAGCCAAUGACCCAAGACACCAUAAAAAUCCUAUAUGAAAGUGACUAUAAAAGGACCUCUUUGAGGAAAUGCAAAGGAUUUCAGCAAUUCAGAGAGAUAAAUACUUAGUGAGAUCUGGUGAAUAGAGUGAGUUGAAAAAUUUGGAAAAAAAAAAUCUUCUCAUUGUCUCAAGUGUAUGCUACCAUUAUCAAGCGUGAGAGAGUUCAUCUCUUUCUCAUUAAAGAUUGCAAGAAGACGAAGAAGUUAAUCUUAGGUUUUCAUUUCUUUUUUAUUAUGUGCUUUAGAAUUUUUAGUUAAGGAUCCAAUAUUGAUGUAUGUACUAAGCUCAUCAUGAGCUAAACUCCUUUAUAUUGAGCAAUGUGAAGUUAAUAUGAAAUAGUGAUUGUGUUAAAUGAUGUGUUAUUGGUGAUUUAUUUUAUCAUAUGUUAAACUGUUAUAAAUAUGUUUUUUUGAAUGAUCAACUUAGGAAAAUAUACAAGCUUGUUAUCGUGAGAUAUCCAUGAACAAGUGGACUUCAUGAUAAAAGUGAUUUAAAAUAGUAGGAUAUAGAUAUUCAUUAGAUUAGUUAUUUUAGACACGUUUGGAAUACAACCAGACAUGCAUUAAAGAUACAAUCGAGGUUUAGAGAUUUAUCCCCUUACUUUACUAUAUAUAUUUUUGAUGAUGUAGAGAUACACCACAAGAUCAUUUUUUGACCUCUUUUUUCACGAAAUAACACAUCAUGCACACACAAUAGACAAAGACAUAUUAAUGGAUUAUUGCCCAAAAUAUUCUCCAUUGUUAAUUUCAUAUACUCUUGCCAAAGCACUCCUAUCACUAUUUGCUUUAAAAAGUGAACCUGUGACAACCAUAAACUAUUUUUACUCUUGCUCGUGCUCAUUUACAAAAGAUACUUUUACAAAUCAAUCUAAACUAUCACCACUUCCUAUGGGUUCAACAUCCUUAUUAUUCUAUCAAUUACUAUUUUAAAAUAGAUGUAUACUUGCAUGUGAUAUCACACGUUUUCAAGCAACGAAUAUCUUUAAAAUAUAAAUAAAUAAUGAAAGAAAGAACAAAAAGAAUAACAAAAGAAAAUGUAGUAAAAAUAAAGGGAAGGUGAUUAUAAAUAUACUAAUUAUGAUGCCAAGUUUGAAUGCAAUAACUCCCUGAAAUUCAGAUGAACCUAUGCUUAUGAUAUAUAUAAUCAUUUAGUACCAUAUAUAUACUCCUAAUUUAAAUCUAAAUACAUUUAAUCAACCAAAUUAGGAAGGAAACAAUUCUCAACAAUCAGCUAAAAAGUUUAGCAAAACAUGUUUACUUUGCAAUAGUGACACCAUGAUCCAUGCACAAAAAUCACAAACAAAACAUUAAUGCAGAAGACAAUAUCCAUGCACAAAAGCCCUUCUGUUGCGUCUCUAUGUAACUAAAAUUUCUCAUGUAUUAGUGAGAUUUGAAAUAGCCUUUGUAUCCUAAUAUGCAAACAAAGAAAACCAAAAUAGAUCAAAUUAACAAAUGUUAAAUACUUACUCCUUUUGUUAGUUUCGGUAAGGUUUUCAUAUUCAUCCUUCACAAGAAGCCUUACUUGUUUAGUAACCUUAUUAAUCAUACUUACCUGUCAAUGAGAUAUAGAGAGGAAAUUAGAAAACAAAACACAACUUUCAGAUUUUUCUAGUAGAACCAUCAUGCGUCGAUCACACAUAUGUAGCAAUCUAUUUUCACUAAGUUAAGAAGAUUACGGUAGUUCUAGAAGUGUGAUUAUGGCGAUUUCAUAUACCGUAAUUUAUGAAAAAUCAUUUUUUUUUAAUUUUUAAACGACUUGGCAUGAAAUGUCUUGAUGCAUGAAUGUUUUAAAAACCUUAGAGAUGAGAUUAUUAGACAUUUUUUGAGCAUCUAAAAUUUAUACAUAAUGAAUUGCAUAUGAACACGUUAGCAUCAAGAUCAAUUUCUUUUACUUCCAAAAUACCCAUAGACUUAUGCAUUCUUGAUUCUUAAAUCCAAAAAUUUUAUUUUUGAUAUUUCUCAAUUGAUAAGAUUUUGUAUUCAUCAAAACUAGACGAAUAUAUUUGACGAACAUCUUUUUCACAAAUUAUUCAUCAAUAAAUGAUGCAAGGUAAGGCCAAAUCAACUCUCUUUGCAAGUCGCAGUCAUUCUUAAAUCUUUAUCUAUUUUUGAAAAUCAAAACCUUUUCUCACAUCAUGUCUUUUAUAUUCUCUUAUUUGUUUAUCUUCAUCUAUUUUUUAUAUACUUCUAUAAUCAUUAAUCAGUAUUUAUAACUCACAUUUUUUGAGUUAUUACAUAUACUAACACUUGUAGUUUAAUUUAGUGUGUUUCGUUAUUUUUUAGUGGAGUAUAAAAAGCAUAAUAGGUUCUCUAUUUCGUUAGUUUUUAUGUGUUUGUUAUAUAUGUAGAGAUGACUUCUGAUGAGACCUAGCACGAUAGUGUUGGAGUAGUAUUUAAACUCCAAUUGAAAGUCGAGAGUCGGAUAAAAUGAAAGUUAUAGAGGGAUGGCAUUGGUAACUUUUAGGGCAUACGUGAAACCAGUCAGUAGGAUGGAGUGCAUUUGAAUCAAAUGAACAAAUGGAUAAUAUCAAGGCUCUAGAGGACAAAAACUCUGCACAAUAGUACAACCACUACAAUGCCUAACUUACCCCUAUUGCAAGACAUUGUCGUUUUUUUCCUGCCCACUAAGCAUGGCACAAUACACUUAUUCUCCUACAUGCUGCUUGUACUCUGAUCUGUAAUGGUACGAAAAGGGAGAAUUAGGGGAAACUUGUUGAUUCCUUUGGGCCAUAAUUCACGAAUAUCCAAAAGCCUAUGAUCCAAGACACCACAAAAAACCUAGAUGGAAGUAACUAUAAAAGGGCCUCUUGGAGAAAGUGCAAAGGAGUUCAAAAAUUCAUAGAGAGAAACACUAGUGAGAUUUGGUGACUAAAGUGAGUUGAAUAAAGUGGAAAAAUUCUUCUUCUCAUCUUCACAAGUGUAUGCUACCAAUAUCAAGCGCGAGAGAGUAUGUCUCUUGAUGACUAAAGAUUGCAAGAACACGAAGAAGUUACUCAUAAAUUUUCAUUUCUUUUUUAUUAUGUGCUUAAGAAUGUUUAAUUUAUGACUCAAUAUUGAUGUGCGUACUAAGCUCAUCAUGAGUUAAACUCUUUUAUGUUAAGCAAUGUGAAGUUAAUAUGAAAUAUUUGUUGUGUUAAAUGAUGCAUUGUUGGUGCUUUAUUUUAUCAUGAGUUAAAUUAUUAUAAAUGUGUUUCUUUGAAUGAUCAACUUAGGAAUAUAUACAAGCUUGUUAUUGUGAGACAUCCAGUAUCAAGUGGAUUUCAUGAUAAAAUUGAUUGAAAAUAGUAGGAUAGAGAUAUUCACUAGAUUAGUUACCUUAGACAUAAAGAGCUACAAUCAUAGAGGACGUUCGAAAUACAAUUAGACAUGUAUUAAAGUUACAAGUGAGACGUAGAGAUUUUUUCCGUUAAUUUACUGUAUAUCAUUCUGAUGAUGUAGAGAUACAACACAAGAUCACUUUCUGAUCUCUUCUAGCACGAUAUAGCACAUCAUGAAUACACAAUAGUAAAAGUCAUAUUAACGGAUCAUUGCCCAAUAUAGUCUCCAUUAUUGAUUUCAUAUACUCUUGCCAAAGUACUGUUCUCACUAUUUCACUACUACAAAUAAUACAUUUCAUGACAACGAUUUCACCUCACAUAUUUAAAAGUCAACGUAAAAUUCCUGGACGCGCCUUAUUAUUUUAAAUAAAAAAUAUACAAUAUAUUUUGUUGGUUAUUUUAAAAAUCGAGGGGUAAACCUAUUCAGCAUACAUGCUUCAAAUCCUAUUAGUCUCUGUAUAUGUUUUUUUUUCAUUAAAAAUGGUGUCUUCUUGAAUAUUUUAUUUUUAAUAUAAAAAUACACCAUAUUUCACAUCGGUUUUCUUUCCAACCUAUGUGAGUAUGUUUCUCUGAUAUAUCAAAUACUUUAAACAUCACUACUAAUAUUGUUGUCAUAUUGUUGUUGUUGUUGUUAUUGAUGUUGGAAAUAAUCAUAUGCAAAAUUAUGUUGUAUCUGAAACUUAUCUUAAAUCGAAUAAUGAUUUUCUAGUAUUCUCAACUCAUCAUUCAUCCUAGACAACAAGUUUUACUUCUUUAAUAACCUUCUUAAUGACACAUACCCGUCCAUGAUAUAUAGAGGGGAAAUUAGAAAACAAAAGACAAGUUUAGUUGCAUAUUUGCAAGAAUGGUCUCACAUUCUAUUGAUCGUGAAGUCCAAGAAGGAAUUAGGCGAUACGGAACCUGCCGUACCGAUCAUGAAAUCUAUUGAAAUCUAUUGACAUAUUCGUGACCUUAAAAUAUAUAUAUGCAUAGCAGUGCAUGAACCUGCCCUAUUUAAUUUAUAUUUUCUGUUAAAAAAGGGUCUAGCCUUUUUAAACUAGACAUAUUUCCCCAUUAAUAAAUUAAUGCAAUCAUAAUUUAGGAUAUGAUAUUCAUUUUGAAAUAUUGAUAAUUACAUAAUUUGAUAGCAAGAGUGAUUAAUUUGUUGGAAUGUAAAAACGAUUCAAAAUUGGAAUGUGAAAGGUGAAAUAAAAGUGAGGUAGAGAAAUAGAAAACAAUAAUAUUUGCUUCUUAUUAUUAACUUGAUGAUACCAAGAUAUUACAGAUAGUUCAAGAGAAGCAAUUCAUAUCUCACAACAUAACAUAAUACUUAAAGAAAACAUAACAUAAUACAUAAAUAAAACAGUGAGAAAGAGCACCCUGGUGAAUGAUAGGUCUUAUUUAGAAUAUAUGACAUACUAUACAUAGCAUGACUCAUAAGACCUUGCUAUUAUUCAUAGUAUGUAUGACCUGCUAGGUAGGAAGCUAGUGAGCGAUCACUCUUUAGUAAGGAGUUUUUGAAGUUCUUCCUCGAGUGAAUAUGUGGGGGAGGAGGAGGUAUUAGCAUCCCAAACGAAAACUCCGGGA